CCUACUCCCAGAAUAAAAGAUUGUUUUGACUAUAUGUGAACUGAAUGAAAAAAUGAUUGCUGCAUUGGAUUGGGUUUUUGAAGGACAGAGCCAGAGAUUUGAAAAGAUUUGCACUUGAGGAGAUUAAGCUUCAGAGACAAGCAGAACUUCUCUACAAUCAGCAGAGCCUGUAUCACUAGCCUCCCAAUCAAGGUCAGUAGAUUGAAUUCAACCCCAUUCGUUUAAAAGAGCGAUAAAUUCAUGCCAGCACCAUGAUCUCACCCCCCUGAGUAGCGGAAUGUGUCUGUGGUGUGCUGUGAAGUCAACCUUCCAGAUGCAAGUGUCCUUGUGACCCUGAAACCACACCUGAAAGACAGGAUGGUGUCAUCCUACCAGCAUGAAUUCUGACUGCAACUUAAUUAAGGGCAACAUGUAUCCAGAGGUGAAAAGAAAAUGAAAAAUGCCUGAUUUAUUGUCUUAAUUGAGGAAGACCCUGU